rnacentral:rRNA from 1 species
AGUGAACGCUGGCGGUAGGCCUAACACAUGCAAGUCGAACGGCAGCACAGUAAGAGCUUGCUCUUACGGGUGGCGAGUGGCGGACGGGUGAGGAAUACAUCGGAAUCUGCUUUUUCGUGGGGGAUAACGUAGGGAAACUCACGCUAAUACCGCAUACGACCUACGGGUGAAAGCAGGGGAUCUUCGGACCUUGCGCGAUUGAAUGAGCCGAUGUCGGAUUAGCUAGUUGGCGGGGUAAAGGCCCACCAAGGCGACGAUCCGUAGCUGGUCUGAGAGGAUGAUCAGCCACACUGGAACUGAGACACGGUCCAGACUCCUACGGGAGGCAGCAGUGGGGAAUAUUGGACAAUGGGCGCAAGCCUGAUCCAGCCAUACCGCGUGGGUGAAGAAGGCCUUCGGGUUGUAAAGCCCUUUUGUUGGGAAAGAAAAGCAGCAGGUUAAUACCCCGCUGUUCUGACGGUACCCAAAGAAUAAGCACCGGCUAACUUCGU